rnacentral:lncRNA from 1 species
UAAAUAACCCUAAGGCCAUAAGAAUUCGUCCAUGCCUUGUCUAGGGUUCCUAGAAACGAAUUUUAUACCUCUUCCCUCUCUCUCUUGCUUCUCCAUUUGCUCUUGGUGUUUGUGAACCAUUAGAGGAGUGACACUUGUGACUCUAAGCCUUCCAAAGUCAAUACAAGGAGAUUUGGGAUUGUUAUUGCUACAUAACAAUCAAGGUAAUAUUAUAAACCUAUUCUUAUGUUAAUAUGAUUACUUAUAUGCUAGAAUUAGGGUUUCUUUAUGUGUUCAUAAUGUUGUGUAUCUAAUAGUGAAAACAUAGAUCCAAUUCUAGGGUUGCAUGCACACAUAGGAUUGUUUGUACAAAUCCCAUCAGUGGUAUCAGAGCCUUUGGUUAACUUGUUUUCAAUUAGUAUUAUACAAUUGUAUGAACUUGACAUAUUAGGGUUUAUAGCCAAUAAACCCUAGGAGGCUAGAAAUUUCGAGAUUAGGGUUUCUAUACCCUAAUUUGCGAAAAUUUGAAAGGGUUUCAAAUCCUUUACUUAAGCCUCAAGAUUUCGAAAUCUAGGGUUUGAAAAACCCCAUGAUUUUCGAAAUUAGCCUCCUCCCCAAGAUAAGAUCCUAAAUUUUAGGGAUUUGGAUUAUCCCAUAUCUUGUAAUUAUCCUCUAGUUGUUAUAUAUGGUAAUUAUAGAUUUUGCAUUAUCCUAACCAUAAUUUCGAAAUCUAGAGAGAUAAUUAAGGGAUUAGGAUAUCUUAAAUGUAUAAAUGGUAAUUAUCCUCAUGAUUUAGAUAAUCCCUUAUGAUUUAAUAAUUAAAUUAAUAGUCUAAUUCAAGAUAAUUAUUAAAUCAAGAGUUUUAAUAUUUAAAAUAUUAAUUUAUAUGGCAUAAAUUCGAAAAUUUUAAGAGAGAUUAAAACUAAAUUGUUUUGAAAAGUUUCAAAACUUGCCCUCAAGUUUUGGAAUUUAAAAGUUGAUUAAAAGUUUAAUUAGGAUGUUAAAUUCUAAAACCCUAGUAUUGUUUUGAAAAGGUUCAAAUUACACCCUUAUGGUUUUAUUAAUUAAUUAAGGUGUAUAAUUAAAAGAAGUUUAAUAAAUCCAUAAAAGUUUUGGUUUACAAUUAAAAAUAUAAUUGUUAUAUUUGACCACCUAGUAUUUUAAAGUGUAAAACACACCCUAUACUAUAUAUAACAUUAAAAGUCUAACAUUAUAUAUAUGAAUGAGUAAAAGUCAGUCUUACCGUUAGUAGGCCUCAUUCACGAAGCUGGUCUAUAAGGGGUGUUUAAGGAAAUUGCCUAUAAAAUGGCGAUUGAAUGGGUAUCCACUCUUACCCACCGCACUCUUGACUAGUGGAGGGUCGUUAGCCGAACGGGUAGGAUAGGACGAAACCUUCCAUUAUAAGUAUAAUGAAUUAUUAAAGUAACUAAAUGUUUUCAUAAAAUUCCCAAUCUUAGUUACUUAGGCAAAAGUGAAUUGAUGCAAUUCCAUGAAAUUACACUUUGUACCCUUGCGAAGACGUUAGUGGAGCGUGUGUGGUUUACCGGCACACUAAAUGGUUCUAAGUGAAGGUAGCAAAGGGUGACUCAAUGUUUGUCAUAGUUCGGUGGAGCGUGUGUGGUUUACCGGCACAUCGAAUAGAUGACUGUAACAUGUGAGGGCACCAUGUAAGUUUGCAUGGUUAUUCACACCCGCUUUGUGAUCCUCGGCAUCCCAGUCACAAACAAGAGGGGCAUAUCGAGAUUUAAACAUGCCAUUGAAAGUUCAAUGAAUCUCAAAGGAUCUAGGAGUUUUCAUAGAUUUAAAACUUAAAUUCUUUUUCGUUUUUCGUGGUGGAAAUUAGUGAAUCGUCAUUCACUUACCUUCAAAUAUUCUGCAAUUAGGGUUACGGCAUCCCUCUCCCGAGUUGUAGAAUAUUGUGUUGGGUCCUAGCCUUAGUAUCUCAUUUGGGUGAUUUACUAAGGACUCAAUCAAUCAACUAACUUGAAUUCGUUUUCUCCCGUUUUGUAGAUGUCAAAGUUCGACAACUAUGGUCUUCCCAAAUCCCGUGGAACAAGCAUUCCACAUGAAGAUGAUAUUCCACGAUUCGAUCGAGGAACAAGAAAUCAUGCUUCACUUCCUCCUCCUCCUCCAAUUAUUCUCCCUAACCCACAAGUUCAAAGGCUUGAAAAGUUCAAGAUCACUCAAGCCCUUUUGGCAAGUAAACAUAAAGAAGGAAAGUCGGUGUGUGCACACGUCCUAGGGAUGAAGUCACACAUUGAUAGGUUAAGAAUGUUGGGAUCCGUUGUCUGUGAGGAAAUGGCUGUUGAUUGGGUUCUUCAGUCACUUCCUAACUCAUAUAGUGAGUUCGUAAGAGAGUACUAUAUGAUGAACCGCGACGUGACCCUUAUAGAUCUCACCUAUAUGCUUAUUGCUGCUGAAUCAGCAAUGGUUUGGCGCAAUAGAAAAGCAAAGUUGAUUGGUGAAUCUGCCUUCAAGACCUCUAUGGAUAUAGACAAUGGCAACGAAAGACAUGCUAUGAUCGAAAAGUUUGAUCAUAAGAGAAAGGCAAUGUCUGAAGUAGUUCCAUGUCAUGUUCCAAAAGAGUCAAUUUGCUUUUAUUGCCAAGAGAAAGGGCAUUGGAGACGAAGCUGCCCCAUUUACCUAAGAGAUCUAAGAGAUGGGAGAGUCGAAACGUAUGGCUCUAAUAUAGGUAAAAUCCAUUAACUAACUCUUUUAAGCUUCUAUUCUAGAUUCUUAAUACAUAAUGUGAUAAGAUUACAAUUGAUGUUUUGUAGGAUCGAAGAAAAGAAAGGAAGCUUAAGGGAAGAAGUGAGCAGAAUCUAACCGUGAAGGAAUGGAUUUCGAUCGCAUUUCUCGAAGAUUAGAUUCUUGAGCUACUACUUAGAGUUAGAAUUAGAUUGCUAAGAAAGAUGUAUUAGCAUAGUUUUUCAAUGAAUUGCAUUGUAAGGACAAAUUUUUUCCGCAAUAAAAUAAAUUUUGAUUUUAUAUUAUUUAUUUAUCCUUGCAAUGGCGUAUAUGAAAAAUUGAUGUUUGAAUGUUUCUAUUAUUAGCAAUAAUGGAUUUGGUUCUUAUUAUGUUAUUUAUGGAAAGUCGAGAAUUUACCAAAUAGGGAGAGUUUCUCAUCGCCCAAGUUUCAAUUGGACAGAAACUUGGAAUCAUGCAACUUGGUUGCACGAUGAAUGAGAAAUUUCAUAUUUGGAAAUUAGACUAAUUCAUUGACAAAGUGUCAAGUGAAGGACUAGGAGAUCGAGUACACAAAGUUGCGUGUUGAUCAAGUCCACCAUAAGAGUAACAAAGAUAUUCGUCAUGAUUUACUAAAGGUUUAGUAAAUAUGAUUAUACUUACAAGAUUAAGUGUAAUUCUGAAUUGAUUGAAAAAGUUUAAAUCAAUAGCAGAACGAAUAAGAAGAAUCAAGUAGGCAGAAAGAUAAAAGUUUCUCCAUUCUAAGAAGAAGGGAGAGUACCUUUUAUGCUUUAUGAUAGGUCUUAAUGAUUAAGAACCAUAUCUCAAUUGAUCCUCUAAGUGAGUCUUAGUACAAUUGUAUGUCUAAGAAGAGGAAUCAAGAAUUGAAGAAAUGGUUAAAUCAAGAAGUCAAUCAUACUUCGUUCCAAAACAAGUCUUAGAGUUAAGAUUGUGACAUUGAGUGAUAAGUAUUAAGAAGGUUUAUAACAUUCAUCAAAUGUGGAAAGUUGUGAUGUCUUGGAUAAGACAAAGACCAACUAGGACCAAUUUAUGAAGUGUUUUGAUAAAAGCUACACUAACUCUUGAAUAUUUGUUUGUCAAGAAAUGUUUAUUGACAAGAGAAUCUUAUAUGUCAAGGAGUCAGUGGGAGUCUUAAUGGUCUUGAAAGGUUUCAAGAACAAAUCAAAAAAACCUUAUCGAUCAUCACUAGCACACGAGUUGAGGUUUACAACCUAUCGUGUUGACAUUAUUUUGUUUCUGUGCCAAUCCAAUCGAGUUAAUUAUGCAUGUGAGUUCUAUGAGUUCUCAUUUUGAACGCAUAAAAGGCAAAGCACCUUAAUCAAUGAAAGGUACAUUGAUAGGAAAGGGUGAGCUGCUUAACUACUUGGAAGACAUGGUGGGCAGCUGUGCUACCAUAAGGCAAGAAAUCAAGAUUAAGAAAGUUCGGUCCAUAUGAGUUUGAAUUUGUCGUAAACUUUGGUUUUAACAAAUUCACAUGGAUAGGAACACAUACACCGUUUAAAUCUAAGUGUCAUAAGAUUUCCUCCUUCAUGAAAAUGAUUGUGAGGAAAUGCUUUCACUAAGAAAGAUUUUAAGAAGAUAGUGAUUGUAAAAUUGCAUUCUCGAAUUCGAUUAUGGUUACGGUAUCCCUUUCCAUAAUUUGAAUUGUGAGGUUUGGCAAUUAGUCUUAAUUGUUUAGACACACAUAUGAACUAUCGAAGGCAAAGGUGUAUAAGUUCAAGAAGCCUUGAUAAAAGAUUAUCAAAGCACUAAGUAUUAGAAACAUGAACUUAAGAAAUUCAAUAAGUAUUGUUUUUCUGAAAGUUAAGAUGUUUAUGAAUACAUGUCGAAGCUAGUGGGAGCAUAAGUGUUAUGUUUUAUAAUAAUCAUCAUGAUAGUGGGAGCAUAAAUGUUAUGAUUGUAUGAUUAUUAAGGCACGUAUUGCAAGUUGGCAAUAUUAAUUAUAGAAAACAAGAGUUAUACCUUGCAAAGUCGUAAGGGUUGUAAAGUUGUUUUGCUAUAAUUAAGGGAGAGAAUAUUAUGCUUCAUUUCAAAUCUAAAGGAUUAGGUUGAGAAAUGUUAAUAAAUUUAGUCAAAGGUACAUAGUGUGUUCUUAAAAUUUCGAUUAUGAUUACGGCAUCCCUCUUCACAAUUCGAAUUUUGAGAACAUAGCAAAUAAAACAUUAUGCGUCGUGUCCCAUACGCUUCGGGUAUAGGAUCGAUUGCAAAUGCUUUAAUGUUUGACCAUUCUAAAAUUUUCCAAAUGUCGAGCGCAUUUAGAGGGAAAAGGGACUAGAAUUGGUUUUGACUAAAAUAAUUAAACAACUAUCAAAGGACAAUCCAAAGUUCGACGAGGAUUGGUCGCUUGUGAGUAGUUGGAAGCAUGGUAUUGGAUGGACCAUAUCGACAUUAUUAUGAAUAGAAAAGAUUCUAUUAAGAAUGAGUUGUCAUAUGGAAAUUAUGGAAAUGUUUCCAUAUUGGAUGGACCAUAUCGACAUCAUUACGAAUAGAUAAGAUUCUAUUAAGAAUGAGUUGUCAUAUGGAAAAUAUGGAAGCGUGUCCAUAUUGGGAAUUGAAUAUUGAAAAACUAUGUCUAGAUUAGAAACUUUUAUGCAAAAGGAUGUUCAAAGGAAUGUACUUUGAGUGAGAGACAUCAUAUCUAAGGAAUUGUCUUGUAACAAUCUCCGAUAGAGGACUUUGUAAUAUCAUUGGCAAUAGUCUUUGUGACUUUGGUGCAGUGACAUUACGAAAGGAUCAUUGCAUAGAAUGUUAGAAUCUAGCAUAUUUUAUAAGUAACAAGAAUUUGAUAUUCUCACACUUAUGAAAAAGGAUUUGGAGUUGUGAAAUGAGAAUGAUUGGAAAUGUGUUCAAUUUGAUCUAUUUCACAAAAGUAAGAACCAUAGGUAAACAUUGUGUGCAUGCUAAGAGCAUGGGACAAGUGUAAUAAUUCAAGUAAGAAGUUGAUUACCCGAAACGACAAAUAAUGAGUAAUCGAUAUGGUGAUAAAUAAAAGGAGUUUUAUUUAUACUCAAAGGUUUGAGGCCAUAUGGGAUUAGUAUUAUUCUUGUGUUUCACAUUUGCAUGUUUUGACUUCCAGAAUAAUUGAGUUUAUUAAGAAUAAUCGAAUUAUUCAAACGGGCCACAGUCGUUCAUAUGUUGGAAGUAGAUAUGAAUGAAGACUGUCGUGAAUUGGUGUGUGGAUUGUCUAAAAGAGUAUUAGACAUAAGCAAAUGUUUGCUGCAACGUUCAUGAGUGCUUAUGAAUAUGAUUUGAGCAUUGGAUUAAACCCACGCUCACUUGGAUCACUCCAUGAAUUGUAUCACGAGUGAUUGGUGAGACGAUAACAUCUUAUAUUCUUGAAACCGAGAUGUGUGAGUUGUAUCUUGCAAAUCGGUUGCACAUUGAUAAUAUGUAAACGCACUAGUAACUUGGUGUUAUAAAACAUAUUGUUGUGUGUGAUUCGGUGAGUGAGUGCAAGCAAGCAUUGUAUCAAAGUUUAUCCGUUCCUUUUAUCCAAAGUAGGAUAAAAGCGAUAUCUUUGGGCCCCUCGAUGAUUUAGUGAUGACAAACGUAAAUGCUCGGCCGGGCUAGGGCUAAUUUGAUUUGUUCAAUUAGUCAGUCGUCAUAAAUCGGAAAUCGAGAUAUAGUACAAAGAGAAUGAUUUGAAAUCAUAUCUCAUAUGAUAUCUAGAAUGGAGGAAUAUAUGAUCCCUUAUCUAAGGACACGCGUAUCUGAUAUGAUCAGAGUUGACAGCGGCUUUGGAAAGCUACGAUUGCAGAUCGGGAUCCGAAGUCAUACGCAGAAUAGUUGUUAGACUUAUCCAAGUGGGAGACUGUUGGAUUAGUGUCUAAGUCCAUAACUAUUUUGGUAUGUACUUGACCCGAUGGUGCAUGGUCCUUUUGGGUUGCCUUUACUAAAGCAACUUGAUUGGAGAAAUAAAUAAAGAGAGAGGUUAUUAUGAUUUAUUAAUAUGUUAUAAGAAUAAUAUAUUAAAGGAUAAAUCAUAGUUGUUUAAUUAAUAUUGGUCAAUAAUUAAUUAAGAAUUAAUUUUAUGAUCAAAUGUAAUUAAUUAAACUAGAGGGGCUGAAUUGUAAUUAUGUGAUAGUUAAAAAAUAUGGUAAUGGUUAUAAUAAAUAUGGGUUGAACGAAUUCAAGGAGAUAAGGAUCCUUGAAAUCAUCCAAAGGAUAAAAGAUAAGGGUUUUCAAGGCUUAUCUUAUGGUUGCUUGGUGGGCAAGCAACUAGAUAAGGAUAAGGACUGAAACCUAAUCUCUACACCUAUAUAAAUAACCCUAAGGCCAUAAGAAUUCAUCCAUGCCUCUUCCCUCUCUCUCUUGCUUCUCCAUUUGCUCUUGGUGUUUGUGAACCAUUAGAGGAGUGACACUUGUGACUCUAAGCCUUCCAAAGUCAAUACAAGGAGAUUUGGGAUUGUUAUUGCUACAUAAGAAUCAAGGUAAUAUUAUAAACCUAUUCUUAUGUUAAUAUGAUUACUUAUAUGCUAGAAUUAGGGUUUCUUUAUGUGUUCAUAAUGUUGUGUAUUUAAUAGUGAAAACAUAGAUCCAAUUCUAGGGUUGCAUGCACACAUAGGAUUGUUUGUAC